rnacentral:rRNA from 1 species
AAACUUACCAGGUCAAGACAUGGGCGUGAUUGACAGGCUAAUGACUUUUCUCGAUUCCAUGGAUGGUGGUGCAUGGUCGCACUUAGUUGGUGCAGUGAUUUGUCAGGUUUAUUCCGGUAACGAACGAGACCUCGGCCUUGUAAAUAGCUAUGCUGCUUACAGGGACAUUGGCGGCUACGCCAAGGAAGCUCGAGGCAAUUGCAGAUCUGGAAUGCCCUUAGAUGUCCUGGGUCGCACGCGUGCUACAAUGACGCCACGAACGAGCUUGCGUGAUGAAAGUUACGCAUAAUCAGCAGUCGGCGUCUUAAGGGAUAGUCUCUUGUAACUGUGGGACUCCAACUAGGAAUGUCUCGUAAGCACAAGUCAACAUCUUGUGUUGAUUACGUCCCUGCUCUUUGUACACACCGCCCGUCGCUCCUACCGAUCGAGUGUUUAGGUGAAUUUGAUGGACGUAAGGAAGUCAAAUAAACCUGAGCACUAGAGAAGAGAAGUCUAGAUGU